rnacentral:snRNA from 1 species
UUGCUUGGUUAUGCGGCAUAUAUACUAAAAAUUGGAACAAUACAGAGACAAUUAACAUGGCCCCUGCACAAGGAUGACACACAAAUUUGUUUUUUUUUUUCUUUCUUU